GGAACAGAGGGUACCUGUCAUUGACUAUUGACCUUGGAAUACCAUGUAAUUUCACCACAUUACUAAUAAAUAAUUCAGCCACAGUUUUUGCAUUAUAAAGAUGCUUCAAACUCAAAAAAAUUCCCAUAUUUGAUAGCCUGUCAAUCACAACCACAAUACAGUCCCGUCCCUGAGACCAUGGUAGUCCGAUGAUAAAAUCCAUUGUGUGUC
rnacentral:misc_RNA from 1 species